rnacentral:rRNA from 1 species
UACGAAGGGGGCUAGCGUUGCUCGGAAUUACUGGGCGUAAAGCGCACGUAGGCGGUCUUUAAGUCGGGGUGAAAUCCUGGAGCUCAACUCCAGAACUGCCUUCGAUACUGGAAGACUUGAGUCCGGGAGAGGUGAGUGGAACUGCGAGUGUAGAGGUGAAAUUCGUAGAUAUUCGCAAGACACCAGUGGCGAAGGCGGACUCACUGGCCCGGUACUGACGCUGAGG